rnacentral:rRNA from 1 species
UACGUAGGGUGCAAGCGUUAAUCGGAAUUACUGGGCGUAAAGCGUGCGCAGGCGGUUUUGUAAGUCUGUCGUGAAAGCCCCGGGCUCAACCUGGGAAUUGCGAUGGAGACUGCAAGGCUUGAAUCUGGCAGAGGGGGGUAGAAUUCCACGUGUAGCAGUGAAAUGCGUAGAUAUGUGGAGGAACACCGAUGGCGAAGGCAGCCCCCUGGGUCGACACUGACGCUCAUGCACAAAAGCGUGGGGAGCAAACAGG